UGUGUAGGCGGAAUGGUAAGCGUUUUGUGAAAUCCCUCGGCUUAACCGAGGAAUUGCUUGACGAACUGCCUUUCUUGAGGCAAGUAGGGGUGCGUGGAACUCUUGGUGGAGCGGUGGAAUGCGUAGAUAUCAAGAGGAACGCCGAUGGUGAAGACAGCGCACUGGACUUGCCCUGACGCUGAGACACGAAAGCGUGGGGAGCGAACAGGAUUAGAUACCCUGGUAGUCC
rnacentral:rRNA from 1 species